rnacentral:tRNA from 2 species
CGCGGGAUGGAGCAGUCUGGUAGCUCGUUGGGCUCAUAACCCGAAGGUCGUAGGUUCAAAUCCUGCUCCCGCAA